rnacentral:tRNA from 1 species
GCCCCUAUGGUUUAGUGGAUAUAAUAUGAGCUUGCGGAGCUUGUGACCCGAGUUCGAUUCUCGGUAGGGGCA